rnacentral:rRNA from 1 species
GGAUGAUCAGCCACACUGGGACUGAGACACGGCCCAGACUCCUACGGGAGGCAGCAGUGGGGAAUAUUGGACAAUGGGCGCAAGCCUGAUCCAGCCAUGCCGCGUGAGUGAUGAAGGCCCUAGGGUUGUAAAGCUCUUUCACCGGUGAAGAUAAUGACGGUAACCGGAGAAGAAGCCCCGGCUAACUUCGUGCCAGCAGCCGCGGUAAUACGAAGGGGGCUAGCGUUGUUCGGAUUUACUGGGCGUAAAGCGCACGUAGGCGGACAUUUAAGUCAGGGGUGAAAUCCCGGGGCUCAACCCCGGAACUGCCUUUGAAACUGGGUGUCUUGAGUAUGGAAGAGGUGAGUGGAAUUCCGAGUGUAGAGGUGAAAUUCGUAGAUAUUCGGAGGAACACCAGUGGCGAAGGCGGCUCACUGGUCCAUUACUGACGCUGAGGUGCGAAAGCGUGGG